CUUAUAUGAUCACCAAAGUUAAGCAAGAUUGAGCCUGAUCAGUACUUAUGUGGGUGACCAUUUGGGAAUACCAGGUACUGUAAG